rnacentral:tRNA from 1 species
GGUCUUGUCGUCUAGUGGUUAGGACGAUGCCCUGUCACGGCAUAGACACGGGUUCGAUUCCCGUCAAGACCGCCA